CUUCUCAGGAGCCUUCUUCAGGGCAUUGGAUUUUGCUGGGGUUUACGCAAACUGCUUCUUGUUUGGGAUCCUGCCUCCAGUCAUGGCCUGGAUUCAUCGAUCACAGCAGAGAAAGAGAUCACCUGAUUCUUCUGAAGAUAUUUUGCCUGGUGGAAAUGCCGCUCUCUUGAUACUUUUCGUUAUUGCUGUGGUCCUAGCAAUAUGGCACUAGAAGAAGUUGCUAGGAAUCUGACAGGAAUAGGCGCCUGCCAGCUGCAGGUUGUUUACUGCCAUCAGGGGAAGGGAAAGAGCAGUGGGUGCAGUUGCAUUCGUUGACUUGAGCUCUCAUAGUCAUACCUUAAUGGCAAACAAGAUCACCGUUAAGGCGUUAAAAACUACUAUGUGAGCUCACUAUUCAUGUUAUGUUAAGUACUUGUGCCUACAGGAAUGAUGAAUUCCUUGUGGAUGAACGAUUAUUGGCGGAAAUUCAAAUUGCUGGACAGGCAUUUGUCGCGCAAAACAAUCAUGCGAGAAAUAUUUCUGAAUGAUUAUGGGCAAGUACGUUCAGGUGCAUAUGCUUGUAGUAAUCAUUUA